AUUGCCCUAGUAACGGCGAGUGAAGCGGCAACAGCUCAAAUUUGAAAUCUGGCGCAAGCCCGAGUUGUAAUUUGUAGAGGAUGCUUCUGGGUAGCGACCGAUCUAAGUUCCUUGGAACAGGACGUCAUAGAGGGUGAGAAUCCCGUAUGUGACCGGCCCGCACCCUUUACGUAGCUCCUUCGACGAGUCGAGUUGUUUGGGAAUGCAGCUCUAAAUGGGAGGUAAAUUUCUUCUAAAGCUAAAUACCGGCCAGAGACCGAUAGCGCACAAGUAGAGUGAUCGAAAGAUGAAAAGUACUUUGGAAAGAGAGUUAAAAAGCACGUGAAAUUGUUGAAAGGGAAGCGCCUGCAACCAGACUUCGCGGCAGUGUUCCGCCGGUCUUCUGACCGGUUCAUUCUCUGUCGCGAGGCCAUCAUCGUCUGGGCCCGCCGGAUAAGACCUUAGGAAUGUAGCUCACCUUCGGGGGAGUGUUAUAGCCUAGGGUGAUGCGGCGAGGCUCGGGCGAGGUCCGCGCUUCGGCAAGGAUGAUGGCGUAAUGGUUGUCGGCGGCCCGUCUUGAAACACGGACCAAGGAGUCUAACAUCUAUGCGAGUGUUCGGGUGUCAAACCCCUACGCGUAAUGAAAGUGAACGGAGGUGGGAACCGCAAGGUGCACCAUCGACCGAUCCUGAUGUCCUCGGAUGGAUUUGAGUAAGAGCAUAGCUGUUGGGACCCGAAAGAUGGUGAACUAUGCCUGAAUAGGGUGAAGCCAGAGGAAACUCUGGUGGAGGCUCGCAGCGGUUCUGACGUGCAAAUCGAUCGUCAAAUUUGGGUAU
rnacentral:rRNA from 1 species